AACGUAGGAGGCAAGCGUUAUCCGGAGUUACUGGGCGUAAAGCGUGCGUAGGCGGUCGUGUAAGUGGGACGUGAAAGCUUCCGGCUAAACUGGAAGAGGACGACUCAGACUGCAGGACUAGAGUAGGUCAGAGGUGCGCAGAAUUCGGGGUGUAGCGGUGAAAUGUGUAGAGAUCCCGAGGAAUACCAGUGGGGCAACCGGCGCACUGGGACGUGACUGACGCUGAGGCACGAAAGCGUGGGGAGCGAACGGG
rnacentral:rRNA from 1 species